rnacentral:rRNA from 1 species
GAGGUUGGGAGAGGGAUGUGGAAUUCCAGGUGUAGCGGUGAAAUGCGUAGAUAUCUGGAGGAACACCGGUGGCGAAGGCGGCAUCCUGGACCGGCAUUGACGCUGAGGCGCGAAAGCUAGGGGAGCAAACGGGAUUAGAUACCCCGGUAGUCCUAGCCCUAAACGAUGAGUGCUUGGUGUGGCGGGUAUCGAUCCCUGCCGUGCCGAAGCUAACGCAUUAAGCACUCCGCCUGGGGAGUACGGUCGCAAGGCUGAAACUCAAAUGAAUUGACGG